rnacentral:pre_miRNA from 1 species
ACAGUACUCCCUCCGUCCGAAAAUACUUGUCAUCAAAAUGGAUAAAAAAGAUGUAUCUAGAACUAAAAUACAUCUAGAUACAUCCCCUUUUAUCCAUUUUGAUGACAAGUAUUUCCGGAUGGAGGGAGUAUUAC